AGCUGCACGUCAGUGCUAAAUUGACAGCCACUGCUUAUAUUGCUGCUAAAUCGCACCUUGGGUAGCAGACGCUGUGGGACUUUGACGUGCAGACAUAUGGUCGCUCAUCUGAACGCUGAAACGAUCUCUGUUUGUCAAAAGAGGAACUGGCCAGGUGUGUUCCAGAUCCCACCCCCGCUCGGAGUAACUGAAGGAUCUGGGACACAUUAAGAAUUGUCUGGUUUUUGUAUACUGACCGGACUGGCGAGCUAACCAUAGCGGAUUCAGAAAGUCACCCAUAAUCUGAGGAAACAUCUCCAAACCGGAAGGGAAAUUCAACCAACCACUUCACAGCUGGAACUAAAUGACUAUUUUUGUUUUUCCCUUCCGUCACCGACAGAGACUUCCUUGGUUUAAGGAACUGGACUUUAAAGCUGUGAAACAAUUUGUAUAUAUUGUAAAUAUAAAUACACCUCAUUGAUUUUGCACUCUCCA